CCCACUAUUUCCAGCGAGAUUCAGAAAUGGCUUGCUAGAGGCUAAAUGGGACUACAGAGGUUGUCGGUGACAUUAAAUGUCAUCACACCGAACAGAGCUUAUUUUCUGCAAUAAUCCAAAAGCCAACAGAAAAAUCCUAUUGAGUUUUGUAGAAGGAACCAGGGUGUUUUGGCUGGAGUCUUCAUCUUACGUUCCUGCAGAGAAUGUGAUCACACCUUCGAGUCAUUACCAUUCCAUUACGCACACGUACUGUAGGGGAGAGUGCAUGGGCUGAGAUGGGCUGGCCAUCCAUUCAUGGUGUUUUCCAGUCUAUGGCUCAAGAAGCUGGAAGAGGCUCUAGUAUCUGACCCUUGGAGAAAGGAUUCAGUUCAGCAAAAGUAAUCAUCCUAAUUUCUGUAAAGUGACAAA